rnacentral:rRNA from 1 species
GGACCCGCACAAGUAGUGGAGCAUGUGGUUUAAUUCGAUGAUACGCGAGGAACCUUACCAGGGCUUAAAUGUAGUAUGACCGGUCUAGAAAUAGGCCUUCUCUUCGGAGCAGAUUACAAGGUGCUGCAUGGUUGUCGUCAGCUCGUGUCGUGAGAUGUUGGGUUAAGUCCCGCAACGAGCGCAACCCCUAUCGUUAGUUGCCAGCGUGUAAUGACGGGGACUCUAACGGAACUGCCGGUGCAAACCGUGAGGAAGGUGGGGGACGACGUCAAAUCAUCACGGCCCUUACGUCCUGGGCCACACACGUGCUACAAUGGUAGGUACAGAGGGAAGCCACCCCGCGAGGGGGAGCGGA